rnacentral:rRNA from 1 species
UACGAAGGGGACUAGCGUUGUUCGGAUUUACUGGGCGUAAAGCGCGCGUAGGCGGCGCAACAAGUCACUUGUGAAAUCUCCGGGCUUAACCCGGAGCGGCCAAGUGAUACUGUCGUGCUAGAGUGCGGAAGGGGCUACUGGAAUUCUCGGUGUAGCGGUGAAAUGCGUAGAUAUCGAGAGGAACACCUGCGGCGAAGGCGGGUAGCUGGGCCGACACUGACGCUGAGGCGCGAAAGCCAGGGGAGCGAACGGG